UUUGUUGGUGUUCUGCUUUGUGUUACAGAACCAAGCAUCAUUCCCUUCAACGCCGGCUAAGGAUCCGAACAGUGCAGUUCGGUGUUGCUCAGAACAUUCACGAACUUUAUGACAGCUGUGAUCCUGAAGUUGUUCUAUCGUUGCUCGUGCACAAGGUUAUACUUGCGUCUUUGGAGGAAGGAGUUCGGGAGGGUAGACUCUUGCUUCAAGAAUGGCUAGUGAUCCUUGCAGCACAGUACAAUGAUGCUUAUAAACUUGUUCAGUAUAGUAAUGGAAAUUCAAUAAGAUCUCAGCUUGAUGUUGCCUUCUCUCAAUGUCCUCAACUGCAGUCCCUACCGCGCCUAAUCUUUGCUCUCCUUCGAAACCCUCUUCUUCGCUUUCAU